UACGGAGGAUGCGAGCGUUAUCCGGAUUUAUUGGGUUUAAAGGGUGCGUAGGCGGCUUUUUAAGUCAGCGGUGAAAUUUUGCAGCUUAACUGUAACAGUGCCGUUGAUACUGGGGAGCUAGGAUUUGGUUGCUGUGGGCGGAAUGUGUAGUGUAGCGGUGAAAUGCAUAGAUAUUACACAGAACACCGAUUGCGAAGGCAGCUUACUAAUCCAUCAUUGACGCUGAGGCACGAAAGCGUGGGGAUCAAACAGGAUUAGAUA
rnacentral:rRNA from 1 species